rnacentral:rRNA from 1 species
AACGUAGGACGCAAGCGUUAUCCGGAGUUACUGGGCGUAAAGCGCGGGCAGGCGGUCUUGCCAGUCUGAUGUGAAAUCUCCUCGCUCAACGGGGAGCAGCCAUUGGAAACUACAAGACUGGAGUCUGACAGAGGUAGGCGGAAUUCCGAGUGUAGAGGUGAAAUUCGUAGAUAUUCGGAGGAACACCAGUGGCGAAGGCGGCUCACUGGUCCGGUACUGACGCUGAGGUGCGAAAGCGUGGGGAGCAAACAGG